rnacentral:rRNA from 1 species
AAUGGAAAGCCCGGUACAAGCGAGGUACCAGUACGGUAGGAAAAUCCGCCGUGCAAUGGGAAGACGUGAUGUGGAGUGAAAUAUAGUAACGAAGCCCGUGAGCCAUGCGUCAAGAAAAGCCGCUAUUGUUUAUACUGUACCCGUACCGUAAACCGACACAGGUGGAUGAGGAGAGAAUCCUAAGGCCGGCGGAAGAAGUAUUGCCAAGGAACUCGGCAAAAUGGGCCCGUAACUUAGGGAGAAGGGGUGCCUGCGAGAGCAGGCCGCAGAGAAUAGGCUCAAGCAACUGUUUAGCAAAAACACAGGUCUAUGCGAAACCGAAAGGUGAGGUAUAUGGGCUGACGCCUGCCCGGUGCUGGAAGGUUAAGAGGAGAGGUUAGACGCAAGUCGAAGCUUUGAAUUUAAGCCCCAGUAAACGGCGGCCGUAACUAUAACGGUCCUAAGGUAGCGAAAUUCCUUGUCGGGUAAGUUCCGACCCGCACGAAAGGCGUAAUGAUUUGAGCGCUGUCUCGGCAAUACAUCCGGUGAAAUUGAAGUGCCAGUGAAGAUGCUGGCUACCCGCGCCAGGACGGAAAGACCCCAUGGAGCUUUACUCCAGUUUGGCACUGGGGUCCGGUGUUGCAUGUACAGGAUAGGUGGGAGGCUGAGAGAUAGUGACGUCAGUUGCUAUGGAGCCGCUGUUGGGAUACCACCCUUGUGAUAUUGGGCUUCUAACCAGCCGCCGUAAACCGGCGGUGGGACAAUGCCAGGCGGGGAGUUUGACUGGGGCGGUCGCCUCCGAAAGGGUAUCGGAGGCGCCCAAAGGUUCCCUCAGAAUGGACGGAAACCAUUCGAAGAGUGCAAAGGCAGAAGGGAGCUUGACUGCGACACCGACGGGUGGAGCAGGUACGAAAGUAGGGCUUAGUGAUCCGGUGGUAUUAAGUGGGAAUGCCAUCGCUCAACGGAUAAAAGCUACCCUGGGAUAACAGGCUUAUCACUCCCAAGAGUUCACAUCGACGGAGUGGUUUGGCACCUCGAUGUCGGCUCAUCGCAUCCUGGGGCUGUAGUAGGUCCCAAGGGUUGGGCUGUUCGCCCAUUAAAGCGGUACGCGAGCUGGGUUCAGAACGUCGUGAGACAGUUCGGUCCCUAUCCGGCGUGGGCGCAGGAUAUCUGAGAGGAGCUGUCCUUAGUACGAGAGGACCGGGAUGGACGGACCGCUGGUGGACCGGUUGGCUUGCCAAAGCCAUGGCCGGGUAGCCAAGUCCGGAAGGGAUAAACGCUGAAGGCAUCUAAGCGUGAAGCCCCCCUCAAGAUGAGAUAUCCCAUUCUUUAAGAAGUAAACCCCCUUGAAGACGACGAGGUAGAUAGGGCAGAGGUGGAAGUGUGGUAACACAUGGAGCUGACUGUUACUAAUCGGGUGAGGGCUUGAUC